AAGGAUAUAAUUUAGUGGUAGAAUAAUUGCCUAGCAUGCACAAGAUCCUGGGUGUGAUCCCCAGUAUCACUC
rnacentral:tRNA from 1 species